GCCAGGUGUGGUGGUGCACACCUGUAGUUCCAGCUACUUGGGAGGCUGAGGUGGGAGGAUCGCUUGAGCCUGGGAGGUGGAGGUAGCAGUGAGCCAAAAUCAUGCCACUGCACCCCAACCUGGGUGACAGAGUGAGACCCCAUCUCAA
rnacentral:SRP_RNA from 1 species